UACGGAGGGUGCAAGCGUUGUUCGGAAUUACUGGGCGUAAAGGGCGUGUAGGUGGUUGACUAAGUCAGGUGUGAAAGCCCUCAGCUCAACUGAGGAAGCGCAUCUGAAACUGGUUAACUUGAGUACGGGAGAGGAGAGUGGAAUUCCUGGUGUAGAGGUGAAAUUCGUAGAUAUCAGGAGGAACAUCGGUGGCGAAGGCGACUCUCUGGACCGAUACUGACACUGAGACGCGAAAGCGUGGGGAGCAAACAGG
rnacentral:rRNA from 1 species